rnacentral:rRNA from 1 species
UGGUGGAGUGAUUUGUCUGGUUGAUUCCGUUAACGGGCGAGACCCGUGUGUUGUAUAGGCGGGUGUUCUCUAGAUGCAGUAAGUAGCGGGCGAUAACA